UGCGUUAUAUCCGCAGCUGCGUCUGUCAGCCGCAUAGUAAUCAAAAUUACAAGCUGCACUAGAACGCACCACCAUAGCAAACAGUGGAUCUCCCUGGAGCAACAAGCCUGAGCGGACAAAACGCCCAUUUCUGCAGCGGCGUCCUCUGUGCUCCGAAGGGAACAGCAAGAACUUUAAAGCUCUUUUUCUAGCACUAAAACUGCUGAACUACAGCUAAGACGAUGUCAGCGACUUAUAAGGAUGACGGGGAAGACUGGUUGACUGUUUGCCUCAAGUACCUACUCUUUGUCUUCAAUUUUCUAUUUUGGGUGGGUGGAGCUGCAGUCUUGGGUGUAGGAGUGUGGACAGUGGUGGAGAAGAGCGACUACUUGAGUCUUUUGGCCUCCAGCACUUUUGCUAUCUCAGCUUAUAUCCUGAUCCUGGCUGGAAGCCUGGUGGUUGUCACUGGCUUCUUGGGCUGCUGUGCUGUUAUCCGGGAACAGAGAAGCUGUCUUUCUACGUAUUUCUUCUUCCUGCUGUUAAUUUUCUUGAUUGAACUGGUUGCUGGAGUGCUGGCCUAUGUUUACUACCAGAGGCUCAGUGAUGAACUGAAGGAGCACCUCAACCAGACUAUGACUGAGAAUUAUGCUCAGCAGGGGAAGGAGACAAUCACUUCUGCAGUCGACAGACUGCAACAAGAUUUCAAGUGCUGCGGAAGCAACAACUCCCAGGAUUGGAUGCUGAGCGCAUACAUUAAGUCAGAACAAUCAGGAAACCGGGUGGUGCCUGACAGCUGCUGCAAAACCGUUACCCCCAACUGUGGCAGGAGGGACCACCCUUCCAACAUCUAUAAAGUGGAGGGUGGAUGCAUCUUUAAGCUGGAGCAGUUUCUUGCAGACCAUCUAUUGGUUAUUGGUGCUGUUGGAAUUGGAGUGGCCUGUCUUCAGCUGGCCGGAGCACUCUUGACAGCCUGCUUUAUCUAUCUGCUCUAUAAGGAGGAGGAGGAGGACUUUGGUGCAUUGUAAUUUGGCUCCAGAGCUCUUUGGUGCUUUUAAUCAAAUGGAUAGACAAGGAUGGAAGAUCUGUGGGAUGGUGUUCACCUGCUGCCUGCACAGGAGGAUCAAGAUGGAUCCUUACUAGGCACACAAGACCCCAACAAACCACCAGUAAAAUGAAGAUGUAGUAAAGCCUGCUGACGCCCAACUUUCACGUCUGGAUCUGAAGUCUAAUCAGAGAAUAAAAAUGAAGUUCACUUUAUCAGAAACCAAUUCAGCCAUUGAGUGGCCCGGCACAAAGAAAA